rnacentral:tRNA from 1 species
AAGGAUUUAAGUUAAUACAAACUUUUAACCUUCAAAGUUAUUAAUAAAGGUAAUCUUUAAGCCUUA